AUUGAACGCUGGCGGCAGGCCUAACACAUGCAAGUCGAGCGGUAGAGAGGAGCUUGCUUCUCUUGAGAGCGGCGGACGGGUGAGUAAUGCCUAGGAAUCUGCCUGGUAGUGGGGGAUAACGUUCGGAAACGGACGCUAAUACCGCAUACGUCCUACGGGAGAAAGUGGGGGAUCUUCGGACCUCACGCUAUCAGAUGAGCCUAGGUCGGAUUAGCUAGUUGGUGAGGUAAAGGCUCACCAAGGCGACGAUCCGUAACUGGUCUGAGAGGAUGAUCAGUCGCACUGGAACUGAGACACGGUCCAGACUCCUACGGGAGGCAGCAGUGGGGAAUAUUGGACAAUGGGCGCAAGCCUGAUCCAGCCAUGCCGCGUGUGUGAAGAAGGUCUUCGGAUUGUAAAGCACUUUAAGUUGGGAGGAAGGUCAGUAGCUUAAUACGUUGCUGAUUUGACGUUACCGACAGAAUAAGCACCGGCUAACUCUGUGCCAGCAGCCGCGGUAAAAC
rnacentral:rRNA from 1 species